rnacentral:rRNA from 1 species
UACGAGUUUGAUCCUGGCUCAGGAUGAACGCUGACAGAAUGCUUAACACAUGCAAGUCUACUUGAAUUAGGUUUUUAACUUAGGUUUGGGUGGCGACGGUGAGUAACGCGUAAGAACUUGCCUCACAGCUAGGGACAACAUUUGGAAACGAAUGCUAAUACCUAAUAUUAUGAUAAUAGGGCAUCCUAUAAUUAUGAAAGCUAAAUGCACUGUGAGAGAGCUUUGCGUCCCAUUAGCUAGUUGGAGAGUAACGGCUCACCAAGGCGGUGAUGGGUAGCCGGCCUGAGAGGGUGAUCGGCCACAAGGGGACUGAGACACGGCCCUUACUCCUACGGGAGGCAGCAGUGGGGAAUAUUGGACAAUGGACCAAGAGUCUGAUCCAGCAAUUCUGUGUGCACGAUGAAGUUUUCGGAAUGUAAAGUGCUUUCAGUUGGGAAGAAAGAAAUGACGGUACCAACAGAAGAAGUGACGGCUAAAUACGUG